UCAUCAGGAGGUUCAUCCUUACCUGUUCCUCCUCUCAGAGGGCAGAUAGAAAAUGUUGAUUGAGCCGGGCGGUGGUGGCGCACGCCUUUAUCAGCACUCGGGA